GUACUUGCUUUGGCAGCUCAUAUACUAAAAUUGGAACGAUUCAGAGAUUAGCAAGGCCUUUGAGCAAUGAUGACACAGAAAUUCAUGAAACGUUCCAUAUUUUC
rfam:Pteropus alecto contig167012, whole genome shotgun sequence.